CUUUACUGUAGCCUGGAAUGGGGUUCGGGCUUUGCUUGCGCAGGAUAGGUGGGAGGCGUUGAACUUGCUCUUGUGGGAGCAAGGGAGCCAACGGUGAGAUACCACUCUGGCGAAGCUAGAAUUCUAACCCGUUGCCGUGAUCCGGCAUGGGAACAGUUUCAGGUGGGCAGUUUGACUGGGGCGGUCGCCUCCUAAAGCGUAACGGAGGCGCGCAAAGGUUCCCUCAGGCUGGUUGGAAAUCAGCCGCAGAGUGUAAAAGCACAAGGGAGCUUGACUGCAAGAGACACAGCUCGAGCAGGUAGGAAACUAGGCUUUAGUGAUCCGACGGCAGUGAAUGGAAGCGCCGUCGCUCAACGGAUAAAAGUUA
rnacentral:rRNA from 1 species